UACGUAGGGGCCGAGCGUUGUCCGGAGUUACUGGGCGUAAAGAGCGCGCAGGCGGUCGUUCAAGUCGCGUGUGAAAGCCCCCGGCUCAACUGGGGAGGGUCACGCGAUACUGAUCGACUCGAAGGCAGGAGAGGGUAGUGGAAUUCCCGGUGUAGUGGUGAAAUGCGUAGAUAUCGGGAGGAACACCAGUGGCGAAGGCGACUACCUGGCCUGUUUCUUGACGCUGAGGCGCGAAAGCUAGGGGAGCAAACGGG
rnacentral:rRNA from 1 species